GGCGAAGUCUCGCGGGAAGUCGCUAUAGAGACGGGGGGGCCGCGGAGACGCCGCCUGUGCUGGGAGGCAGGCGGGAGCCGCCGGGGGCCGCCUCAGGCCGGCCGCUGAGGGAGCGGGCGCGGCUGUCUCCGCUCUGCUCCCCCCGUCCCGGCGCAGCUUCUAGGAAAUGCUUUCAGCUGAUGCGCUAGCAGUUAGACUCUGCUGAGUUUCUGCCCUGAAUGCAUGCACGAAGGGUGUAGGAUGAGAGGAGUCGCCGCUGACUGAGCUGUCCUGUGCCCCUAACACCUCACCUGGCGCUGACAGGUGCAGCCGCACAGCUGCGGAGCGCUCUGCGAGUACCUCGGGCAAGGGGAAGCGUUCGUGUCAUUCAGUUAUACCUACGUACCGUUUUUAAUGAUACAUCUGAACAACUGAAAUGAGACUGAAGACUUCACUUUUAAAGGAACCAAAGCAUAU